CAACUUCCCUGGCAGGGGAGACACCACGAUCAGGAAGGUGGUUUUCCCAGGGCGUAGCUCAUCCUUUGCACUCAGGGAGUGCUGACCCUUGCAACUUCCCCAAAUGCGGGAAACUUGACUGCAUAAUAUGUGGUAGUGGGGGACAUAAAUUUAUUUAUUUAUUUU